rnacentral:rRNA from 1 species
AGAUUGAACGCUGGCGGAAUGCUUUACACAUGCAAGUCGAACGGUAGAGGGGGCAACCCUUGAGAGUGGCGAACGGGUGAGUAAUAUAUCGGAACGUGCCCAGUCGUGGGGGAUAACGUAGCGAAAGUUACGCUAAUACCGCAUACGAUCUAAGGAUGAAAGCGGGGGAUCGCAAGACCUCGCGCGAUUGGAGCGGCCGAUAUCAGAUUAGGUAGUUGGUGAGGUAAAGGCUCACCAAGGCGACGAUCUGUAGCUGGUCUGAGAGGACGACCAGCCACACUGGGACUGAGACACGGCCCAGACUCCUACGGGAGGCAGCAGUGGGGAAUUUUGGACAAUGGGCGCAAGCCUGAUCCAGCAAUGCCGCGUGCAGGAUGAAGGCCUUCGGGUUGUAAACUGCUUUUGUACGGAACGAAACGGUGAGCUCUAAUACAGUUUGCUAAUGACGGUACCGUAAGAAUAAGCACCGGCUAACUACGUG